rnacentral:lncRNA from 1 species
CCAUAGACACUCCCAGGGUUUCCUGGGGAUAACUGCCCUUCCUCCACAGGCCCUGCAGCCCGCCGCCUCAUACUAAGCACACAGAGGCGUCUGGGGCCUGCAUGAGUCUGAACCGCCAGAGGCAAGCAGGAAAUGGGACAUAUAGAGUGACUGUCAGCAGGGGCUUGGGACCCAAAAGGGGAUGCUUUUCACAGCCAACCAGAAAAUGAACUUAAAGCCCUCAAUCCCUGAGCCAUUCUUGUUUGUCUUGUUUUCUCUUGAGACAGGGUCUCACUCUGCCACCCAGGCUGGAAUGCAGUGGUGGGAAGACAUGAUUAAAUGAGCAGGUACAACAGGCCAAGUGCAGGCUGCAGGGAAAAGCAAGCAGCAUCUCCCACCCCAGGGUGUCAACAGAAGGCUCCCAGAAGAAAUAGGUCAAAACCCGAACCCAAAGUGGGGAGUGUGCCUGGCUCAGCUAAGGAACCCAAACGAAUUGAAUUC